rnacentral:rRNA from 1 species
GACGAACGCUGGCGGCGUGCUUAACACAUGCAAGUCGAACGGAAAGGCCCUGCUUUUGUGGGGUGCUCGAGUGGCGAACGGGUGAGUAACACGUGAGUAACCUGCCCUUGACUUUGGGAUAACUUCAGGAAACUGGGGCUAAUACCGGAUAGGAGCUCCUGCUGCAUGGUGGGGGUUGGAAAGUUUCGGCGGUUGGGGAUGGACUCGCGGCUUAUCAGCUUGUUGGUGGGGUAGUGGCUUACCAAGGCUUUGACGGGUAGCCGGCCUGAGAGGGUGACCGGCCACAUUGGGAGUGGGAGACGGCCCGGGCGCCUGGGGGGGGGAGGGGGGGGGAAAUUUGCAAAAGGGGGGGAAGCCGGAUGGAGAAACCCCGGGGGGGGGAGGAGGGCCUUGGGGUUGUAAACCGUUUUGGCCGGGAAAGAAGGGUGGGGGAGGGAAAUGGGGAAAGAAGCACCGGCUAACUCCGU